rnacentral:rRNA from 1 species
GUGAAGGUGAGUUGAGAAGCUUGCUGGAGGUAUCAGAAGUGCGAAUGCUGACAUGAGUAACGACAAUGGGUGUGAAAAACACCCACGCCGAAAGACCAAGGGUUCCUGCGCAACGUUAAUCGACGCAGGGUUAGUCGGUUCCUAAGGCGAGGCUGAAAAGCGUAGUCGAUGGGAAACAGGUUAAUAUUCCUGUACUUCUGGUUACUGCGAUGGAGGGACGGAGAAGGCUAGGCCAGCUUGGCGUUGGUUGUCCAAGUUUAAGGUGGUAGGCUGAAAUCUUAGGUAAAUCCGGGGUUUCAAGGCCGAGAGCUGAUGACGAGUCGUCUUUUAGAUGACGAAGUGGUUGAUGCCAUGCUUCCAAGAAAAGCUUCUAAGCUUCAGGUAACCAGGAACCGUACCCCAAACCGACACAGGUGGUCGGGUAGAGAAUACCAAGGCGCUUGAGAGAACUCGGGUGAAGGAACUAGGCAAAAUGGCACCGUAACUUCGGGAGAAGGUGCGCCGGCUAGGGUGAAGGAUUUACUCCGUAAGCUCUGGCUGGUCGAAGAUACCAGGCCGCUGCGACUGUUUAUUAAAAACACAGCACUCUGCAAACACGAAAGUGGACGUAUAGGGUGUGACGCCUGCCCGGUGCCGGAAGGUUAAUUGAUGGGGUUAGCGCAAGCGAAGCUCUUGAUCGAAGCCCCGGUAAACGGCGGCCGUAACUAUAACGGUCCUAAGGUAGCGAAAUUCCUUGUCGGGUAAGUUCCGACCUGCACGAAUGGCGUAACGAUGGCGGCGCUGUCUCCACCCGAGACUCAGUGAAAUUGAAAUCGCUGUGAAGAUGCAGUGUAUCCGCGGCUAGACGGAAAGACCCCGUGAACCUUUACUGUAGCUUUGCACUGGACUUUGAGCCUGCUUGUGUAGGAUAGGUGGGAGGCUUUGAAGCGUGGACGCCAGUUCGCGUGGAGCCAUCCUUGAAAUACCACCCUGGCAUGCUUGAGGUUCUAACUCUGGUCCGUAAUCCGGAUCGAGGACAGUGUAUGGUGGGCAGUUUGACUGGGGCGGUCUCCUCCUAAAGAGUAACGGAGGAGUACGAAGGUGCGCUCAGACCGGUCGGAAAUCGGUCGCAGAGUAUAAAGGCAAAAGCGCGCUUGACUGCGAGACAGACACGUCGAGCAGGUACGAAAGUAGGUCUUAGUGAUCCGGUGGUUCUGUAUGGAAGGGCCAUCGCUCAACGGAUAAAAGGUACUCCGGGGAUAACAGGCUGAUACCGCCCAAGAGUUCAUAUCGACGGCGGUGUUUGGCACCUCGAUGUCGGCUCAUCACAUCCUGGGGCUGAAGCCGGUCCCAAGGGUAUGGCUGUUCGCCAUUUAAAGUGGUACGCGAGCUGGGUUUAGAACGUCGUGAGACAGUUCGGUCCCUAUCUGCCGUGGACGUUUGAGAUUUGAGAGGGGCUGCUCCUAGUACGAGAGGACCGGAGUGGACGAACCUCUGGUGUUCCGGUUGUCACGCCAGUGGCAUUGCCGGGUAGCUAUGUUCGGAAAAGAUAACCGCUGAAAGCAUCUAAGCGGGAAACUUGCCUCAAGAUGAGAUCUCACUGGGAACUUGAUUCCCCUGAAGGGCCGUCGAAGACUACGACGUUGAUAGGCUGGGUGUGUAAGCGUUGUGAGGCGUUGAGCUAACCAGUACUAAUUGCCCGUGAGGCUUGACCAU